rnacentral:lncRNA from 14 species
GCUGUCGCUGCUGCUGUCACUGUCGCUGCUGUCGCGACUGUCGCGGCGCGGCGAUGGGCGCGGCCCGCGCUGGGGCGCGCUGCACCUGCUGCACCCGCAGGGGGCGCUGCACCUGAGCCGCCUGGCGCGGCGGCACGGGCCUGUGCUGCGCCUGCGCACGGGGGGCCGCGGUGAGUGCGGGACCCCCGAACGCGACCCCAACCGAACCUGCCCAGGACCCCCGAACCCGACCCCGGCCCAACCACCCGGGACCCCCGAACCCGACCCCAACCGAACCGCCCGGGACCCCUGAACCCGGCACCAGCCCAACCGCCCGGGACCCCACAGCCGCCCAAACCCCCCUCCCUGCUCCCCAGGGACUCUCCGAACCCCCAACCCUGCCCUUUCCUCCUGCCGUGGGGACCUCUCCUCAAACCCCCCAAACCUUUCUUGGGUCCAAAUCCCCCGAUGCUCCCCCCAAAAUCCCACGCCAGGACUCCCCACUUGGUUUGGGAUUUCCCCCAGUUUUGGAGUACCCCCAGCCCCUCCUCUUCCCUGCAGAGGUGCUGGUGCCGAGCUCGGUGGCGACCAUCCGCGAGGCGCUGGUCCGGCACUGGGGGGACUGGCUGGGGCGCCCCCAUAGUUAUCUGGGAGCUGCGUUCCCAUGGGGAGGCCCCCCUGGACCCCUUUGAGGUGUUCACCUUCCACACCUGCAGCACCAUCGCACGCCUCCUCUUUGGGGAGAUGGUGGGGAUCUGGGGGGGGCCCAGGAUGGAGACGGGUUUGGAGGAGGACCCCAGUUUUUAUGGGGGCCCAGGGGCUUGGGGGGACCCAGGAGUUUGUGGAGGGAACAUCCAGCUGUUUGGAGAGACUGAGCAAUUUGUGGGUGGAUGGCAGGGGUUUGGGGGCACACCGGAGUUUGAGGGGACCCGAAUGUCUGAAAUGAUGUUGGGGGUGUUCUGGGGGAUCCAGAGAGAAUUGAGUACUGGGCAGUACACAGGUGUGUCCUCCUCCAGGUGCCCCCUCCAGGGGAGCUCCGGGCCUUCUCGCGCUGCCUGGGGGAGCUGCUGCAGGUCUGGGGGCACAGCAGUGUUCGGGUGCUGGACCUGCUGCCCCUGCUGCGGGCCCUGCCCAACCCGGGACUGCGGAAGCUGCUGCAGCUUGUCCAGCACCGUGACACGUUUGUGGAGACCCAGAUCCAGCGGCACCAGGCGUGCCCCUCCCCUCCCUCGGACACAGUUCUGGGGGCACUGCUGGGGCGUAAUCCUGGGGCACGGGGGGGCCCCCUGA